UACGUAGGGGGCGAGCGUUGUCCGGAGUUACUGGGCGUAAAGGGCAUGCAGGCGGUCGGUUGCGUUUCGGGUGACAGCGGGUGGCUUAACUACCCGAGUGGUCGAAAGACGGUUUGACUUGAGGACGCGAGAGGGACACGGAAUUCCGGGUGGAGUGGUGAAAUGCGCAGAUAUCAGGAGGAACACCGGUGGCGAAGGCGGGUCUCUGGGCAGUAACUGACGCUGAGGAGCGAAAGCGUGGGGAGCGAACAGG
rnacentral:rRNA from 1 species